AGAAAGAGCUUUGAAAAGGGAAGACUAUAACAGAGCUUAAGAGAAGACUGCAGAGUCUUGUGCAUGACUUUCCUUGAAUGCAGGAAUAUCUCCGACUCUUGCUCCCUUGUGGCUUCUCCCUGGAAGACAGAGGAGUAUCAAAAAGUGAAUUGAUGCUGUUCCAAGGAGACGCGGUUAUGUCUGGGACAGCAACGGAGGUAUGGACGUGGGAAGUAUACAUGUCAAACAAAUAUGUAUGCGUYAGAACACCAAAUACCAAUGGAAAUGUUGCUGUCGCUACAGAGCAAGCAUCAGUGAAUCCUGGUUUGUAUUGAUACUUGUAUAAAUAUUUUUGUUAAUGGACUUGUGUAGUUAACAGCCUGUUAAAUACCUUCUGGAGACCAUUUAUUAUGGAAGGCCAGGGACAGCUUGCAAUUUUGUCUGUGAAGUC
rnacentral:lncRNA from 1 species